UGAAAGGAAAGCAGGGAGGGGAGCCAGACCUAGCCUCCCUGUGGAAAGGCAUUCCAGUGGGUGGGAGCAGCCUCUGAGAAGGGUCUCUUUCAUGUUCUCACCAAGUGAGCGUGAGAUGAUGGGACUGAGAGAAAGCCUUCCCUAGCAGAUCUUUGGACUCUGGCAGAUACUGUAAAUCCCAAGGCUACAAAUAAGAAUAAAAAGAAGGAAAGGAAGAAGAUGAUGAUGAUUACACCUUCCAAAAUCUUCCUUGGCUAGCAUAGAAUUCUGAGCAAAAAAAAACUGCCCUGGUUGUCCAAUGUAGAGUGCUGAGGAACAUUGUUGAUGAAGAAUGGCAUAUAUCUCUUGCAGUCUAAGAAAACCAGAUUGGUAAUGACUUCCCAGAGGACGUUUUCUGUUGCCGCUCCAAAAAUCUGGAAUGACCUGCCAGAGGAGAUCCGCCACAUAAGAAGCCAAUAAAAACGGAUCUCUUCCAGUAGGCCUUCCCAAACUGACCUCCUCGGAAUGUUCACUCUCCAGUUACAUAGCCUGGACUGUGAUUGUGAUUGAUUUUAUUGACUAUUUGAUUGGGAGCAUUUUAUUGGGAAUUGUUGUUUUAACGCUAUUUUAGGGUGGGAGGGAGAUAGGCAAUUAGGAUUUGAUAUGUUUUGCUAUGUUUUUACUUGUGGCUUGUUGAGUUGUAUUUUCAUUGUUCUUUUGUUUGUUGUUACCUGCCCCUAUCCAAUACAAGGAGAGGCGGGAUACAAAUAAAUAUUAUUAUUAUUAAUCACAUUAGAGAUGAUCAACUGAAAGUGAUUUUCCUUUAGGUUUGAUCUUGGUAUUACUAUGAAUGCAUCUACACUGCAGAAUUAAUGCAGUUUGACACUGCGUUAACUGACAUGGCUCAAUGCGAUGGAUUCCUGGGAUGGAUUCUCUCUCAGAACUCUCUGGUGUCAUAACAAAUAAUAAAUCCCAGGAUUUCAUAGGAUGGGACCAUGACAGUAAAAGAACUGUCAAACUGCAUCAAUUCUGCAGUGUAGCAGCAGCCUAUAUCUGCAAUAUAUCAAAGGCCCUAAGGAUGUCAUCCAGAACAUUCAAAGUGCUUUUACUUGUUCGUCCUCUCUUUUCUCCCACAAUUAGACUUUCCAAAUCUCAAGUUAUUUCCACUGAAUUUACAAAGAAAAGUGUUAAUGGCCUUAGAGGGAGUGAAAGGACAGGCCCAACACCAUCGGGCCUGAAGAGGAAGAGCCCUCCCCUCCCUCCUUUCCAACUGUAUCUUCUGGCCUUAGAGGGAGUGAAAGGACAGGCCCA